rnacentral:rRNA from 1 species
AGUUUGAUCGUGGCUCAGGAUGAACGCUGGCGGCGUGCCUAAUACAUGCAAGUCGAGCGAACAGACGAGGAGCUUGCUCCUCUGACGUUAGCGGCGGACGGGUGAGUAACACGUGGAUAACCUACCUAUAAGACUGGGAUAACUUCGGGAAACCGGAGCUAAUACCGGAUAAUAUAUUGAACCGCAUGGUUCAAUAGUGAAAGACGGUUUUGCUGUCACUUAUAGAUGGGUCCGCGCCGCAUUAGCUAGUUGGUAAGGUAACGGCUUACCAAGGCAACGAUGCGUAGCCGACCUGAGAGGGUGAUCGGCCACACUGGAACUGAGACACGGUCCAGACUCCUACGGGAGGCAGCAGUAGGGAAUCUUCCGCAAUGGGCGAAAGCCUGACGGAGCAACGCCGCGUGAGUGAUGAAGGUCUUCGGAUCGUAAAACUCUGUUAUUAGGGAAGAACAAAUGUGUAAGUAACUAUGCACGUCUUGACGGUACCUAAUCAGAAAGCCACGGCUAACUACGUGCCAGCCGCCGACCG